rnacentral:rRNA from 1 species
AGCUCACUGGUCGAGUGACCCCGCGCCGAAAAUGUACCGGGGCUAAACAUAUUACCGAAACUGUGGAUGAACCUCUUAGGAGGUUCGUGGUAGGAGAGCGUUCUAAGGGCGGUGAAGUCAGACCGGAAGGACUGGUGGAGCGCUUAGAAGUGAGAAUGCCGGUAUGAGUAGCGAAAGAAGGGUGAGAAUCCCUUCCACCGAAUAUCUAAGGUUUCCUGAGGAAGGCUCGUCCGCUCAGGGUUAGUCGGGACCUAAGCUGAGGCCGAUAGGCGUAGGCGAUGGACAACAGGUAGAUAUUCCUGUACCAGUGCUAGUUGUUUGAGCAAUGGGGUGACACAGAAGGAUAGGGAAUCGCACAGAUGGAAACGUGCGUCCAAGCAGUGAGUGUGAGAAGUAGGCAAAUCCGCUUCUCGCGAAGCAUGAGCUGUGAUGGGGAAGGAAAUUAAGUACGGAAGUUCCUGAUUUCACGCUGUCAAGAAAAGCCUCUAGUUAGAUUAGUACUGCCCGUACCGCAAACCGACA